rnacentral:rRNA from 2 species
GGUUAAGCGACUAAGCGUACACGGUGGAUGCCCUGGCAGUCAGAGGCGAUGAAGGACGUGCUAAUCUGCGAUAAGCGCCGGUAAGGUGAUAUGAACCGUUAUAACCGGCGAUUUCCGAAUGGGGAAACCCAGUGUGACUCGUCACACUAUCAUUAACUGAAUCCAUAGGUUAAUGAGGCGAACCGGGGGAACUGAAACAUCUAAGUACCCCGAGGAAAAGAAAUC